UGAAACAAGAAUUGAAAUAGAUUUAAUAAGCAGACGAAGUUAGAUUUUUUUUUUUUUAAUUAAGCCAAUAAAUUUUUUAAUUGUACAAACAGAAAAGCCCCUCAAUAUACAACCGACUUGAUACGAUCAUAUACAUAUAUAAUACUUUUAUUAUAUUUAUAUUAUGGGUCAUACAAUAUUUUUAGCACAAUUGCCAAUUUCUGAAGUAGCUAGAGACAUAUAAUACAUUUCGUGAACCAUUUGUAUGGCUAAAGAGAGCCCUGAUAAGAUUAGGCAUGGAUCGUUGGUGCUUGCGGUCUUUAUUAAUGACAAUGCAUAUUGAAAAUUGAAGAGCUAUGAACGAAGAGAGAGAGAGAGAGUAAAAGAGCGAGAGAGAAAACCAACUUUAAAACAGGUUGACUGUAAUUUUCCAUAUGGCCCUCAUAAUGUAUUACAAUCGAACCAGUUCUGUAAAAGGUCGAACAGAUAAGCGUUUCAUCAAUGGAAAAGUUUUAAUCAACUUUAUAGAAAUGUAUUAAAUGGAGUGAAAUGGGGUAUAUAAAUAAGUAUAUUUACACCUAUUGAAAUAAAACAUUAGUUAGGUUUGGUUUUAAAACAUUUACCUAUUCAAAAUCUGACACACACAAAUAUUUUCAGUCUAGUUUUAGCAUCUCAGACAAAAGUAUAUAUCUAUAUAUAUAUAUCUUGGAAAACGGUUUUAACAAAAUUUUUAUAAAUUAUCAUUUUUGGAACAUCUCUCUUGGCGAUUCAGUAUUUUAAAUUUCAAAAUCCUUGAAAAAACUGCCAUUUAGAACUGACACACAUUAUAUCAGGCUUCUGUCUUAUUAAGAGAUUGGGAAGAAAAAGCUAUAUUAUUCUAAGCUCUUAGUUUUAAAGCACCUCUCUAUACGAUUCGGUGACAGCUUUAACAGUUGCAUUGCACGUUCUGUUAGAAUUGUGCUUGUUCAUGCGGAAUGCAGCAACGCGCAAAACCAACAUUUGCCCCGGGGUCAAUGAAAUAAAACGCAAUUGCUGUACCCUCCACCAGCACCAGCGCCAGCUCAAAUUGCAAAGGUAAGCGGAAUUAUAAGCGCUGUAGAGAGAGCGAGAUUGAUUGAGAGAGCAGCAACAGCACCGAUCGGAGCGUAAGAAAAAGCGCCGAGUGCUGAACGAGAGAGGCUGAUUGACGCUUACCAACAAACAUACACACACACGCGCACGCUAGCUCACACACACACAUAAACACUCACACAUAAGAAGGCAAACAAACCGGCGAUGCGAAGCAAAGCAAAGGCAGUGAAGGCAGCAGACAUUCGAAGCGGUUAGCCGUUCAGUGUGACAGUGAACGUCGUACGGUCGUUGUGUUAUGGCAGCAGACGCAACAGAAGCAAAAACCCAAAACAGAAAUAACAGCAACAAGCAACCGUAAUAGUUGUGUGGAAAAAAGGCUAGUAAACAGCGUAUAAACUGUGUGACAAUAGCAACAACAGCAGCUACACGGCAGCAACAGCAUCAACAGCAAAGGCAACUGCAACUACCACUACAAGUGCAAGCACAGCAACAAGUUGUCCACCACCUGAGAUCUAUAUUCAACACAAAAACAAAAACAAAAUAGAAUACAGAGCAAAGAGGAGGCAGCAACUACAGCGCAAAUAUGUUUGAGGUGGCCUGCCUAAUGUUCAUUUGCCCUUGGCUCAUCAUCGUCUUGCUCAUGUUCAUCGCCAUGACCGUUCUAUAAACAACAGCAACAACAACAGCUACAGCAGCUGAAGAGAAUGUGAGUGAAUGAGUGCUGAGCGUGCUCAAUAACGAAGCAGAAAAAAAAAAAAAUAGGGCACACUUGCCAAAAGCAGCAGCAAAUGAAUGUUUCAACACUUUUGGCAGUGUGCCCGUUCGUUCGUUGGUUGCUUCUCUCGGUUCAUUGAUGCUUGAUUCCUUCUAUGCAAAGACAAAAUCGCAAAUGUGAAACAUGAAAAACAGAAGAAGAAGAGUGAAAAACAACCUCUUCGAAAGAGGGAUUAUAUUGUGAUUUUAAUUAUAAACGUAAUUGUAAUUAGAUGUAAGCAAUAUUUGUACUUACAUUUACACACAAUUACACAUACAUAAUCGACAAUUUAUUUUAUAUAUGUUUCCUAAAUAGUUAAGCUAUAUUUUAUGGAAAAUAAAUGUGUUGAUCAAAUAUAAA